rnacentral:rRNA from 1 species
UACGUAGGGUGCAAGCGUUAAUCGGAAUUACUGGGCGUAAAGCGUGCGCAGGCGGUUUUGUAAGUCUGUCGUGAAAGCCCCGGGCUCAACCUGGGAAUUGCGAUGGAGACUGCAAGGCUUGAAUCUGGCAGAGGGGGGUAGAAUUCCACGUGUAGCAGGUGAAAUGCGUAGAGAUGAUGGAGGAACACCGAUGGCGAAGGCAGCCCCCUGGGUCAAGAUUGACGCUCAUGCACGAAAGCGUGGGGAGCAAACAGGA